rnacentral:rRNA from 1 species
UACGUAGGGGGCAAGCGUUGUCCGGAAUUAUUGGGUGUAAAGAGCGUGUAGGCGGUCCGGUAAGUCCGUUGUGAAAGUCAGGGGCUCAACCCUUGAAUGCCGGCGGAUACUGUCGGGCUAGAGUCCGGAAGAGGCGAGUGGAAUUCCCGGUGUAGCGGUGAAAUGCGCAGAUAUCGGGAGGAACACCUAUGGCGAAGGCAGCUCGCUGGGACGGUACUGACGCUGAGACGCGAAAGCGUGGGGAGCAAACAGG